rnacentral:rRNA from 1 species
AGAGUUUGAUCCUGGCUCAGGAUGAACGCUAGCUACAGGCUUAACACAUGCAAGUCGAGGGGAAACGACAUCGAAAGCUUGCUUUUGAUGGGCGUCGACCGGCGCACGGGUGAGUAACGCGUAUCCAACCUGCCCACCACUUGGGGAUAACCUUGCGAAAGUAAGACUAAUACCCAAUAACGUCUCUAGAAGACAUCUGAAAGAGAUUAAAGAUUUAUCGGUGAUGGAUGGGGAGUGCGUCUGAUUAGCUUGUUGGCGGGGUAACGGCCCACCAAGGCGACGAUCAGUAGGGGUUCUGAGAGGAAGGUCCCCCACAUGGAACUGAGACACGGUCCAACUCCUACGGGAGGCA